rnacentral:lncRNA from 1 species
UCGGAUAUUACAAUUAAAACUGGUUCAAAAGUGCACUUAUAACUAAAGAAAUCCUAGAUCACCUUUGGUGGAGAAAUAUUUUCUUUUUCAAUUUUUAUUUUCCACAUGUUUUUGCAUAAAAUAUUGUUAUAUGGAUACAUGUUUUAGCAAAUAAAGGGGAAAGCAUGAGAUGACUUUUGCUACUAAAAUGUUAAAAGAUUACUUGCACAUAAUUACAUAUUGAUUCACAUACCCUCCCAAGUUUCUAUCUCUCAAACUUCAUCAUUUCUUAGAAAUUUGUCUGUAAUCAAAUGUAGCCGAGCUUGAGCUUCGCGAAUUCUUAUUCAUUUUCUUGGAAAAUUUUCAGAACAAGCAGUUCCAACUUCAAACAGAGAAACCAAGAGCUGGUAAGUUCCAUCCCUGCACAUGUUGCUUCUGCCACUGAUCUCUUCCUCUUAUAUUUUCUGUAGAAAUGCCGGAUCUGUAAAAUCUUGUAACAAUUCAGGGAAAGCAAUCUCAACAAAUUUGAGAAGAUUAAAACUUUAUUGGAGAAUUUCAUUUGCAGGUGUGCUCUAAUAUGAGGACACAGAAACCAUAUACAUCUGCAAAAUGUCCACACUUUACCAUACGUAGCAUACUUUAGAAGAUAAUAUCAGAUUAAGCUACUAAUGUAACGGCCCCGUAAUAUUAAAAUGAAAUGAGUAUUUAAAUAUAUCAAAUGCGGAAGCGAGAUCAAAAUUUCAGUUAACAUCCCUUACACGAAAAACCAGAAACGUACUUAAAAUAUAAAAGAUUAAACUAACUAAGAGAGAAACUCGAAAAUAAAACUAUGAGUAUGACUACAGAGUCUCUAGGUAUCCCCUUCGUCG